rnacentral:rRNA from 1 species
AUUGAACGCUGGCGGCAUGCCUAACACAUGCAAGUCGAGCGGAGCGGCGGACGGGUGAGUAAUGCCUGGGAAUCUGCCUGGUCGUGGGGGAUACCGUCCGGAAACGGGCGCUAAUACCGCAUACUAUCAGAUGAGCCUAGGUCGGAUUAGCUAGUGGGUGGGGUAAAGGCCUACAAAGGCGACGAUCCGUAACUGGUCUGAGAGGAUGAUCAGGCACACGGGAACUGAGACACGGUCCAGACUCCGACGGGAGGCAGCAGUGGGGAAUAUUGGACAAUGGGCGAAAGCCUGAUCCAGCAAUGCCGCGUGUGUGAAGAAGGUCUGCGGAGUGUAAAGCACUUUAAGUUGGGAGGCGUUACCAACAGAAUAAGCACCGGCUAACUUCGUGCCAGCAGCCGCGGUAAUAC